rnacentral:rRNA from 1 species
GAUGAACGCUGGCGGCGUGCCUAAUACAUGCAAGUCGAGCGAACAGACGAGGAACUUGCUGCUCUGACGUUUGCGGCGGACGGGUGAGUAACACGUGGAUAACCUCCUUGUAAGACUGGGAUAACUUCAGGAAACUGGGGCUAAUACCGGAUAGGAGCCUCUGGCGCAUGGUGGGGGGUGGAAAGUUUCGGCGGUUGGGGAUGGACUCGCGGCUUAUCAGCUUGUUGGUGGGGUAGUGGCUUACCAAGGCUUUGACGUGUAGCCGGCCUGAGAGGGUGACCGGCCACAUUGGGACUGAGAUACGGCCCAGACUCCUACGGGAGGCAGCAGUGGGGAAUAUUGCACAAUGGGCGGAAGCCUGAUGCAGCAACGCCGCGUGCGGGAUGACGGCCUUCGGGUUGUAAACCGCUUUCGCCUGUGACGAAGCGUGAGUGACGGUAAUGGGUAAAGAAGCACCGGCUAACUACGUG